rnacentral:rRNA from 1 species
UACUGUUGUUCCCGUUCUCUACUGAUGGAAACUUAUCUCUACUCUUAAAAUGAGCGGAGAGUAGAUCAGUAGAAUGAAUGUUGUUUUCGAACUCAUUCAUUCAAUUACUCCUACUUUUGUAAGUUCCAUCUCAUUUUACUUUGAAUAAAUUAGAGUGUUUAAAAGCAGGCGAUUUUUUGCCAUUGAAUACAUUAGCAUGGGAUAAUAGAAUAGGACUUCGGUUCUAUUUUAUGGUUUUUAGAACUGAAGUAAUGAUUAAUAGGGAUAGUUGGGGACAUUGGUAUUUAAUUGUCAGAGGUGAAAUUCUUGGAUUUAUGAAAGACUAACUUCUGCGAAAGCAUUUGUCAAGGAUGUUUUCAUUAAUCAAGAACGAAAGUUAGGGGAUCGAAGACGAUCAGAUACCGUCGUAGUCUUAACCAUAAACUAUGCCGACCAAGGAUUGGG